GAUGAACGCUGGCGGCGUGCCUAAUACAUGCAAGUCGAGCGAACAGACGAGGAGCUUGCUCCUUUGACGUUAGCGGCGGACGGGUGAGUAACACGUGGGUAACCUACCUAUAAGACUGAGAUAACUUCGGGAAACCGGAGCUAAUACCGGAUAAUAUUUCGAACCGCAUGGUUCGAUAGUGAAAGAUGGCUUUGCUAUCACUUAUAGAUGGACCUGCGCCGUAUUAGCUAGUUGGUAAGGUAACGGCUUACCAAGGCAACGAUACGUAGCCGACCUGAGAGGGUGAUCGGCCACACUGGAACUGAGACACGGUCCAGACUCCUACGGGAGGCAGCAGUAGGGAAUCUUCCGCAAUGGGCGAAAGCCUGACGGAGCAACGCCGCGUGAGUGAUGAAGGUCUUCGGAUCGUAAAACUCUGUUAUUAGGGAAGAAUAAACGUGUAAGUAACUGUGCACGUCUUGACGGUACCUAAUCAGAAAGCCACGGCUAACUACGUG
rnacentral:rRNA from 1 species